GACCUUAGUUGCCAGCAUUCAGUUGGGCACUCUAGGUGACUGCCGGCUAAAAGUCGGAGGAAGGUGGGGGAUGACGUCAAAUCAUCAUGCCCCUUAUGACCUGGGCUACACACGUGCUACAAUGGGCGGUACAAAGGGUCGCGAACCCGCGAGGGGGAGCCAAUCCCAAAAAGCCGCUCUCAGUUCGGAUUGCAGGCUGCAACUCGCCUGCAUGAAGCCGGAAUCGCUAGUAAUCGCGGAUCAGCAUGCCGCGGUCGAAUACGGUUCCCGGGCCUU
rnacentral:rRNA from 1 species